AAACCUACGAAACUCGAAUGAACGAACGGAGAGAUUCAUCGACAUCCGGCGGCGUACGGGCGCGCGCCUCGAUGUCGCUCGGGCGCCCCUCGCGGGUGUCGCGCGCGGCACGGGUCGCGUCCGAUUCUCGACGUCCGUCGGCGUCGUGCACUUCUCUCUCAGUAAUGCAUCGCGACCCGUUCUCUGUCGGCUUAAGCGCCGUCCGAUUCGCCCAGCGGUGGACGUUCGCGCCCACCGCUGGACCGUGACGGUGGCCGGCCGGCGGGGGACGGUAGUGGUAUGAAACGCGCACGCGCCUCGCGCGCGUCCGGCCCGACGCAAGCUCGCGCCGCACCAAGUCUCGAUCCUGCCCGAGUGCGGACCGGGACGCGGCGCCGCUGUCGUCGCUGCCGUGCAGUCUCGGACCGUGCGCGUAUCAGUCUGCGAUGAGUC
rnacentral:rRNA from 2 species